rnacentral:rRNA from 1 species
AGAGUUUGAUCCUGGCUCAGGAUGAACGCUAGCGGCAGGCUUAACACAUGCAAGUCGAGGGGCAGCACGUCUUCGGAUGGUGGCGACCGGCGCACGGGCGCACGGGUGCGUAACGCGUAUACAAUCUACCUUUUACAGAGAGAUACCCCAGAGAAAUUUGGAAUAAUACCUCAUAAUAUUAUUGCUCGGCAUCGAGUGACAAUUAAAGUUUCGGCGGUAAAAGAUGAGUAUGCGUCCUAUUAGCUAGUUGGUAAGGUAACGGCUUACCAAGGCGACGAUAGGUAGGGGUCCUGAGAGGGAGAUCCCCCACACUGGUACUGAGACACGGACCAGACUCCUACGGGAGGCAGCAGUGAGGAAUAUUGGUCAAUGGGCGAAAGCCUGAACCAGCCAUGCCGCGUGCAGGAAGACUGCCCUAUGGGUUGUAAACUGCUUUUAUACAGGAAGAAACACUCGGACGUGUCCGAGCUUGACGGUACUGUAGAAUAAGGAUCGGCUAACUCCGUGCCAGCAGCCGCGGUAAUACGGAGGAUCCGAGCGUUAUCCGGAUUUAUUGGGUUUAAAGGGUGCGUAGGCGGGAAAUUAAGUCAGUGGUGAAAGUUUGCAGCUCAACUGUAAAAUUGCCAUUGAAACUGAUUUUCUUGAGUGUAAAUAAGGUAGGCGGAAUGUGUUGUGUAGCGGUGAAAUGCAUAGAUAUAACACAGAACACCAAUUGCGAAGGCAGCUUACCGGGCUACAACUGACGCUGAGGCACGAAAGCGUGGGGAUCAAACAGGAUUAGAUACCCUGGUAGUCCACGCAGUAAACGAUGAAUACUAACUGUAUGCGAUAUACUGUAUGCGGUACAGCGAAAGCGUUAAGUAUUCCACCUGGGGAGUACGUUCGCAAGAAUGAAACUCAAAGGAAUUGACGGGGGCCCGCACAAGCGGAGGAACAUGUGGUUUAAUUCGAUGAUACGCGAGGAACCUUACCCGGGCUUGAAAUGCAUCUGACCGGUCUAGAGAUGUCAUAGCUAGCAAUAGUCUGUAUCGAGGUGCUGCAUGGUUGUCGUCAGCUCGUGCCGUGAGGUGUCGGCUUAAGUGCCAUAACGAGCGCAACCCUUGUCGUUAGUUGCCAUCAAGUAAUGUUGGGGACUCUAGCGAGACUGCCACCGUAAGGUGUGAGGAAGGGGGGGAUGACGUCAAAUCAGCACGGCCCUUACGUCCGGGGCGACACACGUGUUACAAUGGUAGGUACAGAGGGCAGCUACCCAGCGAUGGGAUGCGAAUCUCUAAAACCUAUCUCAGUUCGGAUCGGAGUCUGCAACUCGACUCCGUGAAGUUGGAUUCGCUAGUAAUCGCGCAUCAGCCAUGGCGCGGUGAAUACGUUCCCGGGCCUUGUACACACCGCCCGUCAAGCCAUGGAAGCUGGGGGUGCCUGAAGUUCGUGACCGCAAGGAGCGACCUAGGGCAAAACUAGUAACUGGGGCUAAGUCGUAACAAGGUAACC